GCCGAUAUAGCUCAGUUGGUAGAGCAACACAUUCGUAACGUGUAGGUCGCCGGUUCGAGUCCGGCUCUCGGCU
rnacentral:tRNA from 1 species